UUUCCGUAGGUGAACCUGCGGAAGGAUCAUUAAAGAAUUUGCCCCGUCCUCUCGAGGAUGGGUCCUCUUCUAAACCGUGUAUACAUACCUUUGUUGCUUUGGCGGGCCGCUGUCUCGGCGUUGGCUUCGGCUGACUGUGCCCGCCAGAGAACCCCAACUCUUCUGUUUAGUAUUGCCUGAGUACUAUAUAAUAGUUAAAACUUUCAACAACGGAUCUCUUGGUUCUG
rnacentral:misc_RNA from 1 species